UACGUAGGGGGCAAGCGUUGUCCGGAUUUAUUGGGCGUAAAGAGCGUGUAGGCGGUUUGGUAGGUCCGUUGUGAAAACUCGAGGCUCAACCUCGAGACGCCGAUGGAAACCAUCAGACUAGAGUCCGGAAGAGGAGAGUGGAAUUCCUGGUGUAGCGGUGAAAUGCGCAGAUAUCAGGAAGAACACCCGUGGCUAAGGCGGCUCUCUAGUACGGUACUGGACGCUGAGACGCGAAAGCGUGGGGAGCGAACAGG
rnacentral:rRNA from 1 species